CAGUGUCUGAUGCAUGUGCACCCAGGCUAGCAAAAAUCUGUCUACCAAGGUUAAAUAACCUCACCUGCUUUAGGGGGCAGGCCUAUCCUGUGUCCCACCUUCCCAGUGACUCACCUGGUGGCCAUCAGCUAAUUAUGGAAACCCUAUUUAGAUGUGGAGGAGACCUUCAAUUGAUGCUGGCACCUACUACAGAAAACCUGAGAGAGCAGAGAGGAAGUGCUUUUAUUUGCAGAGUGAAUUUUGUUUAGAGUGUGCCCAACCAGCACCUGAGCCUUACAUUUUAAUGGUGCACGUUUAUCACAGAAUAAAACU